rnacentral:rRNA from 1 species
UACGUAGGGGGCAAGCGUUGUUCGGAAUUACUGGGCGUAAAGGGCUCGUAGGCGGCCAACUAAGUCAGACGUGAAAUCCCUCGGCUUAACCGGGGAACUGCGUCUGAUACUGGAUGGCUUGAGUUUGGGAGAGGGAUGCGGAAUUCCAGGUGUAGCGGUGAAAUGCGUAGAUAUCGGGAGGAACACCAGUGGCGAAGGCGACUACCUGGCCUGUUCUUGACGCUGAGGCGCGAAAGCUAGGGGAGCAAACGGG